rnacentral:rRNA from 1 species
CCAGACUCCUACGGGAGGCAGCAGUGGGGAAUAUUGCACAAUGGGCGCAAGCCUGAUGCAGCCAUGCCGCGUGUAUGAAGAAGGCCUUCGGGUUGUAAAGUACUUUCAGUCGGGAGGAAGGUGGUAAGGUUAAUAACCUUAUCAAUUGGCGUUACCGACAGAAGAAGCACCGGCUAACUCCGUGCCAGCAGCCGCGGUAAUACGGAGGGUGCAAGCGUUAAUCGGAAUUACUGGGCGUAAAGCGCACGCAGGCGGUCUGUCAAGUCGGAUGUGAAAUCCCCGGGCUCAACCUGGGAACUGCAUUCGAAACUGGCAGGCUGGAGUCUUGUAGAGGGGGGUAGAAUUCCAGGUGUAGCGGUGAAAUGCGUAGAGACCUGGAGGAAUACCGGUGGCGAAGGCGGCCCCCUGGACAAAGACUGACGCUCAGGUGCGAAAGCGUGGGGAGCAAACAGGAUUAGAUACCCGCGUAAC